rnacentral:lncRNA from 1 species
CUCUGUUCCAGACACAGUUCACGGGCGACCCAGUUAGUUAAUCUCUUUUUUUACUCCAGUUGUCCUCUCGUAGGUUAGCCAGAGCAGCAAUACGUAUCCUUUCUGGCCACCGCUCAACCUAAAUUUGAUCGCAUCAAACUCGUUCGCCGCCGCCUGCGUUAUAGAAAUAUGCACGCAAUGGACCCGUAGGACGAAUUAACUUCAGGAUGACAUAUGUGCAGCCCACCGAACUGUUCAGUUCGCCGUGUCCUCGCUCUGCAGGACUCGAUCAGGCUCUUGCCAGAUGCCAGGCCGGCCGGGCGAUGAACGCUGUGCCGGCUACGUGCACCGCUCCUCCUGUUCUUUCGCGCCACGCGCGCCGCUGCAUGAACCACAUCUAUGCGUCUCGAGGAGUGCACGCGGCUGCUACCGUAGCACGCCAGGAUAAACUUGGGACUCGCCACCGGCUGAGUAGUUGACAUCACAUUUCUUCGACGGUCGCGGGCGAUAAGCACGCCCGUGAUUGAUUUGGACCGUGGUCAGGGUUCAGGACAACCUGGCACGUGACUCCAGCUCUCGUUCCAUCUCCUUAGUUUUUACCUAUAAAAAAAUAAAAAUAAAAGAUAAAGUUUGGAUUAUGAGUAUCAUUGAUAGUUAGAAAAAUAUAAUUAAUCAAUAGCACGCCUACAAAAGUAAAAUUAUUCAAAUCCCAUUAUACCUAGCCGCAUUUCACAUUUGCCAUUGCGGUGGAUUGAUCUCUCAUGUCCCAUCCACCACUCCUGUUAUCGAUUCUAUUUCUUUGAUUUUGUCAUCAC